UCCCGGGUCGUCUAACGGCAGGACGAGGGUUUUUGGUGCCCUUUACGGAGGUUCGAAUCCUUCCCCGGGAG
rnacentral:tRNA from 1 species